AAUUACACAACAAAACGUAUCAUAUUGUUCCCUUUUAUUAGAAGAUAACAAAGACAGGAUAUUAUUUACAUUAUUGGAAGUAACGUGCAUCCGUGUAAACAUUUGGAACGCUACAAACAAGUAUUGUAGGCCCGAAGAUUUUUCAGUAUUUAUGGUAAGCCUCUAAAAUUAUAAUGCGUCGCAUUUCGAUAAUAUUGACGCAAUCGUAUGCAAUAACGCGUUCCGCAAUAUGAUUUUACUAAAGCAGUCUCGCAUGUUGACGACAUCAUUUCUUCUAUUCCUGGAAAUGUAGAGCUUCUGAGAUAGGUUAUAUAGGCACUAGAUUGGUCGUGAACAACUCAGUGGAUCUAUUAAGCAUCUUUAUGUACACAUAUAGCAAGAGAUGGAGCCAGUUAAACAAUACAGUAAAAAUAUAUACUUCAUUUAUAUCAAUUAAGUAAUCAAAGACACACUAGGUUGCAAGCAUUUUAUUUGCACUACAGGCUGUUCUAUGAGGGCACAAACUCAAUGAUCAGAUGCUAGUUUGUAGUGCAAAAUAAAAUGUUGAAUGUGUUACCUAAUGUCUUCGUCUAUAUAUACGGUAUGCUAACAGAUAAAUUCAUUUGGUCUACAAGUUGGUACAGUAUAUUAAGAUUCUUAAAGAUAAUAAUAAUACCAAAUAGGCCUAACAAUAAUAAUAAUAAUAAUAACAACAAUUAAUAAUAAUAAUAAUAAUAAUAACAAUAAUAAUAAUAAUAAUAAUAAUAAUAAUAAUAAUAAUAAUAAUAAUAAUAAUACUACAGUGGAUAGUCUUAUACAGCACAUAAUACAUUUUUUAUGCGCUUUACAUAAAAAGGAACAGAAUUAUGAAAUACCGUAUCUAACAAUGAAAACUAAUAAAGAAAACUAACAAAAACAGAAUAAGCAUUGGAACACAAGUUAAGUUCACAUAUGUACUAUAUUCUUGCCAUAUGCCCUUAGUCUCGCUUACAACCUGGCCCGCUAAUAUAACUCCUUCAGACAUUAUGUCAGCUCUUAAUUUCAAGUUUACUAAUUUAACUUGCUUAAGAAGAUGGCGUUUCUAUUUUGUUAUUUUGAUUGUUAUAUUAUGUGAUUGUGAAUUUGUGAUUGCGGAAUUUCCCUCGAUGGCUCAAGUAGCAUUUAAUAAUCUUGAAUCUCGAAUCUUACUAUAUCUGAAUUUAACUUGUGUUCCAAUGAUAAAGUAGGCCUAUAUCAAACCACACAUACCAUACGAGGUACAUUACAUACGGUACACUAUGGACAGCACUGGCCAAUGGGAAUAUCACCGUGUUAACAGAUCAACAGGCCUACAGAGAAACUUAGAGGUAUUCUUUGGAUAAAACUACAUUGUAUGUACAUUUUUUACAAGGUGCUGACAUUAGGCACCACCCCUCAACACACCCCCUUCCCCCC